rnacentral:rRNA from 1 species
UCGAAACCUGCACAGCAGAACGACCCGUGAACUCGUUUACCAAACCCGAGGGGACGGGGCCUGCCUCGCACCCCUUGGAGCCGGGACCCGCCGAGAGGCGCGCGACGGCAAGUACCCAAACACCGGCGCGGGUUGCGCCAAGGACUAUGAAAUUCUACCGCAUCUCGCGGCCCUGGGAGACCAGGCGCUGCGGCGAUAGCGUGUCGAAAUGUAUAAAAAAGAACGACUCUCGGCAACGGAUAUCUCGGCUCUCGCAUCGAUGAAGAACGUAGCGAAAUGCGAUACUUGGUGUGAAUUGCAGAAUCCCGUGAACCAUCGAGUCUUUGAACGCAAGUUGCGCCCGAAGCCAUCCGGCUAAGGGCACGUCUGCCUGGGCGUCACGCAUCGCGUCGCCCCCUCAUCCUCCGAUCCGGAGCGGGAUGAGGGGCGGAAUAUGGCCCCCCGUGCGCCCUAGCGCGCGGCCGGCCUAAACACGGAGCCCGUGGCCGCGAGUGCUGCGACGUUUGGUGGUUGAAUAUCGAGCAUCGCGUCGCGCGCCGUAGCGUACUCGGAGAGCUCGAAGGACCCUUAGGCGCAGUAGCCUACCCUUGCGACCCC